rnacentral:rRNA from 1 species
UCCUACGGGAGGCAGCAGUGGGGAAUUUUCCGCAAUGGGCGAAAGCCUGACGGAGCAAGACCGCGUGAGGGAGGAAGGCUCUUGGGUUGUAAACCUCUUUUAUCAGGGAAGAACACAAUGACGGUACCUGAAGAAUCAGCAUCGGCUAACUCCGUGCCAGCAGCCGCGGUAAUACGGAGGAUGCAAGCGUUAUCCGGAAUUAUUGGGCGUAAAGCGUCCGCAGGUGGCUAAUCAAGUCUGCUGUCAAAGGCCGGGGCUUAACCCCGGAAAGGCCAGUGGAAACUGAUAAAGCUAGAGUAGCCGUAGGGGUAGAGGGAAUUCCCGGUGUAGCGGUGAAAUGCGUAGAGAUCGGGAAGAACAUCGGUGGCGAAAGCGCUCUACUGGACGGUAACUGACACUCAGGGACGAAAGCUAGGGGAGCGAAUGGGAUUAGAUACCCCAGUAGUCCUAGCCGUAAACGAUGGAUACUAGGUGUGGCUUGUAUCGACCCGAGCCGUGCCGUAGCUAACGCGUUAAGUAUCCCGCCUGGGGAGUACGC